AAUCAUGGUUCUUGUCUUUAUCAUGCUGCAUAAUAGAGAUGAAGCCCAUGUUUCAUUGCUUUUACAUAAAUUCAGGAGCAACUGCAGUGAGUCCAAGCACCGUAGGUGUCUCGUUGCUGAUAUUGUUUAUUUAUUUUAGAGAGUAUUAAACUCACUGAUUGCUCCUGGCAGACUGAGUAUAAGGACACCACCAAUUGAUGGGAGAAUGGGUGUUAUUUGUAGUUCAAGAGUAUUAUCAAGUGCUUAUCCAAGACAUGAAGGUGUUCCAACGUCAGUUACUUCUACUUCUAAUCAAUCCAUGAUCAAUGAAAGAAGGCUAUCAGCUCCUUUAUCAUGGAGUGAUUUUCAAUCACAGCUAGCAAACAACGGAAGCUAUUCACAUCAACGGUAAUGUGCAUACAAUAUACAGCAUGUAUGUACAUGUACUUUUACAAUAGUGGGAAUUAGUAGGUCAAUUUUAGCUACAGUGAAACCUUUAAUUUGAUAUAGGAAUGUCUUACUACCUCAGAUAUUAUAUUCUCUUCCUGCUAGCUAGACACUUACACUUAAUUUCUAAAAAAACUUUUGAUGUACGAGUUAA